GCUCUUCUAGUAUACUUAUUACAAUUGACUUCCAAUCUCUAAAAUCUGGUACUACCCCAGAGAAGAGCA
rnacentral:tRNA from 1 species